UAGUAACGGCGAGUGAAGCGGGAAGAGCUCAAGCUUAAAAUCUCCGUGCAAGUUUUGCGCGGCGAAUUGUAGUCUAUAGAAGCGUGGUCAGUGAGGGUGCCCGGGGCAAGUUCCUUGGAAGAGGACAGCAUGGAGGGUGAUACUCCCGUUCAUCCCUGGGUGUCUCUUGCGUACGACCCGUUUUCUUUGAGUCGCGUUGUUUGGGAAUGCAGCGCAAAGUAGGUGGUAAAUUCCAUCUAAAGCUAAAUAUUGGUGCGAGACCGAUAGCGAACAAGUACCGUGAGGGAAAGAUGAAAAGAACUUUGAAAAGAGAGUUAAAGAGUACCUGAAACUGCUGAAAGGGAACCGAAUCGUUUCCAGUGUCUAUAAUCUGUGGCAUAUUUCAUUGGCGAGUGUGUGCGUGCGUGUGCUUUGGCAGUGGCUUUUUUGGCUGCGCURGGUGUGUGUGCUGUGUGUGCUUGCUGGUGCCCUGUGCUGCGGUGGGACGUCAAGGUCAGUUCGUAUGCUGCGGGAAAUGGCUGCCGAGGAGGUAGGGCUUACGCUCCGCGUUUGUCUGUUAUAUCUUGGUGGACGAGUCGUCGCGGUUGGGACUGAGGUGCCUACAACGUGCUUUUGAGUGAGUGUGGGUCUCCGUGUGCGCCGUGUGCGGAUAGCUUGCUAUGCGUGUGUGGCUGUGUGUGGAUUGAUGCGCGCUGUAACUUGUCGCCGUUCGGGACGUUGACGAAAUGGAGCGAUCCGACCCGUCUUGAAACACGGACCAAGGAGUCUAACAUGUGUGCAAGUGUUAGGGUGUGGAAACCCCAGCGCGAAAUGAAAGUAAAGGGCAGCGCAAGUUGUCUGAGGUAGGAAAUGCUGCGGGCUUCGGUCUGCGGCGUGGCACUAUCGACCGAUCAUGAACCUUCGUGGUGAAAGAUUUGAGUUUGAGCACAUAUGUUGGUACCCGAAAGAUGGUGAACUAUGCCUGAGUAGGGUGAAG
rnacentral:rRNA from 1 species